rnacentral:rRNA from 1 species
UACGUAGGCAGCAAGCGUUGUUCGGAAUUACUGGGCGUAAAGAGUGUGUAGGCGGUGCUCUAAGUUCGGUGUGAAAUCUCCCGGCUCAACUGGGAGGGUGCGCCGGAAACUGGGGUGCUGGAGCGCGGGGAGAGGAAAGCGGAAUUCCUGGUGUAGCGGUGAAAUGCGUAGAUAUCAGGAGGAACACCGGCGGUGUAGACGGCUUUCUGGACCGUAGCUGACGCUGAGACACGAAAGCGUGGGUAGCAAACAGG